ACUCCUACGGGAGGCAGCAGUAGGGAAUCUUCCGCAAUGGACGAAAGUCUGACGGAGCAACGCCGCGUGAACGAUGAAGGUCUUCGGAUCGUAAAGUUCUGUUGUUGGGGAAGAACAAGUGCCAGAGGAAAUGCUGGUACCUUGACGGUACCCAACCAGAAAGCCACGGCUAACUACGUGCCAGCAGCCGCGGUAAUACGUAGGUGGCAAGCGUUGUCCGGAAUUAUUGGGCGUAAAGCGCGCGCAGGCGGUUCCUUAAGUCUGAUGUGAAAGCCCACAGCUCAACUGUGGAGGGCCAUUGGAAACUGGGGAACUUGAGUACAGAAGAGGAGAGUGGAAUUCCACGUGUAGCGGUGAAAUGCGUAGAGAUGUGGAGGAACACCAGUGGCGAAGGCGACUCUCUGGUCUGUAACUGACGCUGAGGCGCGAAAGCGUGGGUAGCAAACAGGAUUAGAUACCCUGGUAGGCUCUGCU
rnacentral:rRNA from 1 species